UCGCUGGGGUUGGUUUAAUACAACGCUGAUUGGCCAGCAGCCAGGCAAGAAGCAUAGGCGGGCAACCAAACUAAGGAUGAUGGGAAGGAGUUGGCAGCCAGACACAGAGAGAGCAAGAUGGACAUGCCGUACUAAGGAAAGGUACCACUACGUGGCGGAGCACAACCCUAUGUGAUAGAUCCCGUCCCAUUCACUCCCUAGGGCUCUAUCUGAAGACUGCACUGUGGAGUCAGUUAGAGGAAAAUGAUCAUCUCCAAGAGCCCCAAGGCAAGUAAAUCAUCCUCUCUAUGGUUUGCGGCAUUAUUACCAGGUCACUUGGCCAGGGAUGAGAAACCAGGGGAGAGACGCCGAAGAGACCCUCUGAACUGAGCCCACCAUUAGAAUAUCUGAAUCUGAGGCGCAACCUGCACCUACAAUAUGUCUUUUUGAUGACUUGCCCCCAUUCGCUCUUAAAGCCGGGAAGAUGACAAUAAAAAGACUCUGUAUCAUGUAA